rnacentral:rRNA from 1 species
CCUACGGGUUGCAGCAGUGGGGAAUAUUGCACAAUGGGCGCAAGCCUGAUGCAGCCAUGCCGCGUGUAUGAAGAAGGCCCUAGGGUUGUAAAGUACUUUCAGUCGGGAGGAAGGCGUUGAUGCUAAUAUCGUCUACGAUUGACGUUACCGACAGAUGAAGCACCGGCUAACUCCGUGCCAGCAGCCGCGGUAAUACGGAGGGUGCAAGCGUUAAUCGGAAUUACUGGGCGUAAAGCGCACGCAGGCGGUUGAUUAAGUUAGAUGUGAAAUCCCCGGGCUUAACCUGGGAAUGGCAUCUAAGACUGGUCAGCUAGAGUCUUGUAGAGGGGGGUAGAAUUCCAUGUGUAGCGGUGAAAUGCGUAGAGAUGUGGAGGAAUACCGGUGGCGAAGGCGGCCCCCUGGACAAAGACUGACGCUCAGGUGCGAAAGCGUGGGGAGCAAACAGGAUUAGAUACCCCUGUAGUC